GUCCGUUAGUUUUUUCCAUAUCUGAAUUAAUCAGUGUUGGCCGCGUACUAGUUGUCAUAUAUAAAUUUUAGUACUUCUUAUGAUGACAAUACAGCAGUUUACUCAAGGAAUGGAGACGCAUGGAUUCACUUAUCUCACACGUGGGAAAGUAUCAACAUCCUACAUUAAUGGACUGGAGGAGGUCGAGAAUAUUGCAGAAGUGCAUCAAAAAGAUGGUGUCAUGAAACCCUGACCAUUACAUAAAAAGGCAGUACGGCAGAUCACUCAAGUCACGCUGAUACAUGAAUUCACAUUUCUCACGCGUGGGAUAGUAUCAACAGCCUACGUUGCAAAUGGACUAGAAGAUGCUGAGAAUAAUACGUGUUAUAUGCAAUAUGGCAGUACGGCAGUUCACUUAAGGAAUUCUGACGCAUGGAUUCACUUAUCUCACACGUGGGAAAGUAUCAACAUCCUAUGUUGCAAAUGGACUAGAAGAUGCUGAGAAUAAUACGUGUUAUAUGCAAUG